AGAGUUUGAUCCUGGCUCAGGACGAACGCUGGCGGCGUGCUUAACACAUGCAAGUCGAACGGGGACUUCGGUCCUAGUGGCGAACGGGUGAGUAAUGCGUAAAUAACCUGCCUCAGAGAUGGGGACAACAAAUCGAAAGGUUUGCUAAUACCGAAUGAUGUAUGAUUAUCGCAUGGUGGUUAUACUAAAGAUUUAUCACUUUGAGAGGGGUUUGCGUCCGAUUAGGUAGUUGGUUGGGUAAAGGCUAACCAAGCCGACGAUCGGUAACCGGUCUGAGAGGAUGAACGGUCACAAUGGAACUGAGAGACGGUCCAUACUCCUACGGGAGGCAGCAGUGGGGAAUAUUCCACAAUGGAGGGAACUCUGAUGGAGCGACGCCGCGUGAGUGAAGAAGGGUUUAGGCUCGUAAAGCUCUUUUCUUGCAGACGAGUGGUACUUUAGGAGAACAGGGACGGUAUGCAAGGAAUAAGCCACGGCUAACUACGUGCC
rnacentral:rRNA from 1 species